GUCUCCUCUCCCUGCUCCAGUGUUCGCCAGCUCAGAGCCUGUCCCAGGAUUCCAGGGAGACACUUUACAGCUGGCAUUCAUCGACCUCCGACAGCUGCUGGACCUGUUCAUGGUGUGGGACUGGUCUACGUACCUGGCUGACUACGGACAGCCCACCUCCAAGUACCUUCGGGUCAACCCCUCCACUGCACUAGCACUUUUGGAAAAAGUCUACAGGGG